rnacentral:rRNA from 1 species
AAAACAUGUCUUUUUGAUAAAAAUUUAAAGUCAGGUCUGCUCACUGAAUUAUUUAAAGAGCCGCAGUAUAUUGACUGUGCAAAGGUAGCAUAAUCAAUAGUUUUUUAAUUGGAAACUAGAAUGAAAGAUUAGACGAAAAAUUAAUUUUCUUUGUUUUGGUAAAUUUAAUUUUAAAUUUAAGUGAAAAUGCUUAAAUAUAAUUAAAAGACGAGAAGACCCUAUAGAUUUUUAUUAUUGAAAUGAAUUUUUAAAUUUAGUUUAGUAAAAUAAUUUAAUUGGGGCGAUUUUAUAAUAUAGAUAACUUAAUUUUUUAAGACCAUAAAUAAUUGAAUAUUUGAUCUAAAAUUUUUAAAGAAAAGAUUAAAUUACCUUAGGGAUAACAGCGUAAUUUUAUUUAAGAGUUCAUAUCUAUAAUAAAGUUUGCGACCUCGAUGUUGAAUUAAGAUAAUAUAUUGGAGUAGAAAUUAAUAUAAUUAGUCUGUUCGACUAUUAAAUUCUUACGUGAUCUG